GAUGAAGAACGCAGCGAAUUGCGAUAAGUAAUGUGAAUUGCAGAUUUUCAGUGAAUCAUCGAAUCUUUGAACGCACAUUGCGCCCCUUGGUAUUCCGGGGGGCAUGCCUGUUCGAGCGUCAUUACAACCCUCAAGCUCUGCUUGGUCUUGGGCGUCACCGGUCCCCGGUGUGCCUUAAAAUCAGUGGCGGCGCCAUCUGGCUCUAAGCGUAGUACAUACUCUCGCUACAGACGUCCGGUGGAUGCUGGCCAGCAACCCCCAAUUUAUCAAGGUUGACCUCGGAUCAGGUAGGGAUACCCGCUGAACUUAAGCAUAUCAAUAAGCGGAGGA
rnacentral:misc_RNA from 1 species